rnacentral:lncRNA from 1 species
GUGCUUUCCUGGGCUUCUAGACCAACCCCAGCCUUCCAGCACCCCCAUCUCAAAGCACAGGCAACGCACCUACAAAUCGGAACCUGAGAAGUUCCUCCAGUUUGGCUACAGUGCAAAUAUUGGCUAGUUGAGGAUCCUCUGGCCUGCAUGGACCCUUUCCUCUUGUGGAACCUUCUGUGCUGGGAGUUUGCCCUUCGGACUGGCCGAUGUCACUGUGUGGUCCACCUUGGCUCCCCACCUCACCACAGUGCAAGCUCUUGCUGGCUUUUCUUCUUCAGCCCACAUUGUGCGAGCACCCUGGUCAAAUCCACCUCUGCCAGGCCCCUGCCUCAACACUUCUGCUCUCCACGGUCUCCACAGUGCUUACGGAGGCCGUGAGGAGCAACCCAGGGACCUGGAAUGGACAGAAUCUUCUGUCAGCCUCUGAAAACCAGGUGAUGAACCGCUUCAUCUGUGCUUCCUGUGCUGAAUGUACUUCUCUGCCUUUCUCCCUUCUCCUGGCGCUUUGGGACAAGUGUCCUGCAACGGCCCGGAGUCUGCACGGGAGCUCUGCUCUUCCUCAGCCUCCCGGAGUGCAGGUGCUGCAGG